ensembl:snoRNA
GGGCACUGCCUUUGAACCCCUCUGGUCUAUGUGUGACCUUUUGGGCCAAGCUGCAGUGCAACAGUAAAGACUUGUUCAUAACUGGAGCAUUCUGGAUGUUCCACCAGACUGCUCUUUUAAAUGCAAGUCACAGCC